UACGUAGGGGGCAAGCGUUGUCCGGAAUUAUUGGGCGUAAAGCGCGCGCAGGCGGUCAUUUAAGUCUGGUGUUUAAUCCCGGGGCUCAACCCCGGUUCGCAUUGGAAACUGGAUGACUUGAGUGUAGGAGAGGAAAGUGGAAUUCCACGUGUAGCGGUGAAAUGCGUAGAUAUCUGGAGGAACACCGGUGGCGAAGGCGACAUCCUGGACCGGUAUUGACGCUGAGGCGCGAAAGCCAGGGGAGCAAACGGG
rnacentral:rRNA from 1 species